GGAAGGCGGUUAGCAUCUUCGGAUGCGAAGCUGGCGACCGAAGCCCCAGUAAACGGCGGCCCUAACUAUGAGGGUCCUAAGGUAGCGAAGUUCCUUGUCGGGUAAGUUCCGACCUGCAUGAAAAGGCGUAACGACUGGUGCACUGUCUCAACCACCGACCGGUGAAAUUGUAGUCGUGGUGAAGAUGCCACGUACCCGCGGUUAGACGGAAAGACCCCAUGAACCUUCACUGUAGGCUGAUAUUGGGCUGAGGUAUGUCUUGUGUAGUAUAGCUGGGAGACUGUGAGUCGGUGGCGCUAGCCAUCGAGGAGUCAUCGUUGAAAUACCAGCCUGGAUAUGCUUUAGUUCUAACCUUGUCCCAUGAAACUGGGCAGGGAACAGUGUCAGUUGGGCAGUUUGACUGGGGC
rnacentral:rRNA from 1 species